rnacentral:sRNA from 1 species
ACACAAAGUAUGAGAGGAUCGCCAC